rnacentral:lncRNA from 1 species
UUGCAAUCCAUCGUUGACCUACUCUCAUCCACCUUCCGCCCGGCUCUCUCCGCCUCCAUCGCACCUACCGCCACCGUCAAGAGAAGCAUGCAGAGAGGGAGCUGGAUCUCAACCGGAUCUCAUCCUCCUCCUCUCUUUUUGGAGCUCUUUCAACAAGUAACCCUGAGUUUUUCAAUUGGUAACCCUGAGUUCGUCAUCUUCAAGAUCGGAGGCAAAUUUUAUUGACAAUAGUGAGGAAGUCGAUUGUGCGGGAGCUGCGUCGGAGGUAGCAUAUGUACUGUUGAGGAGGUAGCCAUAUUGAUAACACUUCAUAUUGCAUGAGAUUCAAUCUCAACUUAACAUAUUUUCGACUUAGUUCGAUCGAUUCUUGACUUUUGAGAUGUGAUUGGUGGAUGAAAAUAAGGGUUUUGUGUUGUGUUCUCUCAAACGGAUUUUUUUUGAACUUGUUUUCUCAUAUGUUGUUGAUAUUUCGGGUAUCCGCUAGAUAGAGGGCAUCGAUACGAAACCAACAAGACCAAUCAAAUGUCAAAUGAACGUCGGAUGAGCGACUUAUAAACGAAAGAAGAAAACCGCCCUGUCUGAAAACAAGGCCACAUGGUGUGUGGAGGCCGUGUGAUCCCACUCUUCGUGUGGAUGGUCUGGCAGAGGUAUAAAACCCCAAAUGUGAAGAGAGAGGCAACAUAUCUUCCAAUUCCAUCCAUUGCAAUCCUUAGUCCGAAAUUUCACGCUCUCCCACUCACCAUUGGAAGCUAUGAAGAGGAUUUGGAGCAUUUGAAAAGCAAGGACUGAAGAUUAAGAAUAUUAGAGCUUUGAGUGAAGAUUAGUACAUUCAUCACCUUUUUCAUAUUUAGAGAAUGAUGGUAAUUGUAUCUCUUUCUCCUGUUAUAGUUUCAUGAUGAUUGGUUAGGUUUUUUGUGUUGUUAGAUUAGGGUGUAUAUGGAUGCUAGGAUGAUCCCUUCAUAAUGGGGGGUUGGACAUAUUGGAUACUUGUUAUGAUAGUGAUGAUACUUGGAUUAUGGUGUGUUCAACCAAUUUGUGCUAUGACUUGAAUUAGGUCAAAUCAAUACUCUUA